UCUUAAGGAGCAAAGAUUGCAUCUAGUUUCGGCCUAGAUUUAGACUAAUAUCCUUUCAUA
rnacentral:tRNA from 1 species